rnacentral:rRNA from 1 species
ACAGUGGACGCGAGCAUCUGUGGCCAAGUUUUUAAGGGCGCACGGUGGAUGCCUUGGCACCAGGAACCGAUGAAGGACGUGAGAGGCCGCGAUAGGCCCCGGGGAGCUGCCAACUGAGCUUUGAUCCGGGGGUGUCCGAAUGGGGAAACCCGGCAGUCGUCAUGGGCUGUCACCCACUGCUGAACACAUAGGCAGUGUGGAGGGAACGAGGGGAAGUGAAACAUCUCAGUACCCUCAGGAAGAGAAAACAACCGUGAUUCCGGGAGUAGUGGCGAGCGAAACCGGAUGAGGCCAAACCGUAUGCGUGUGAGACCCGGCAGGGGUUGCGCAUGCGGGGUUGUGGGAAUGAGCUUUCACAGUCUGCCGGCUGUGAGGCGAGUCAGAAACCGUAUGGAUAGGCGAAGGACAUGCGAAAGGUCCGGCGUAGAGGGUAAGACCCCCGUAGCUGAAAUCUGUACGGCUUGCUUGCUCAUCUCCCAAGUAGCACGGGGCCCGAGAAAUCCCGUGUGAAUCUGGCGGGACCACCCGCUAAGCCUAAAUAUUCCCUGGUGACCGAUAGCGGAUAGUACCGUGAGGGAAUGGUGAAAAGUACCGCGGGAGCGGAGUGAAAUAGUACCUGAAACCGUGUGCCUACAAGCCGUGGGAGCGUCGGAUGCAGCUUGCUGUAUCUCGUGACUGCGUGCCUUUUGAAGAAUGAGCCUGCGAGUUAGCGGUGUGUAGCGAGGUUAACCCGUGUGGGGAAGCCGUAGCGAAAGCGAGUCCGAAUAGGGCGAUUGAGUUGCACGCUCUAGACCCGAAGCGGAGUGAUCUAGCCAUGGGCAGGUUGAAGCGGAGGUAAGACUUCGUGGAGGACCGAACCCACCAGGGUUGAAAACCUGGGGGAUGACCUGUGGUUAGGGGUGAAAGGCCAAUCAAACUCCGUGAUAGCUGGUUCUCCCCGAAAUGCAUUUAGGUGCAGCGUCGUGUGUUUCUUGCCGGAGGUAGAGCACUGGAUAGGCGAUGGGCCCUACCGGGUUACUGACCUUAGCCAAACUCCGAAUGCCGGUAAGUGAGAGCACGGCAGUGAGACUGUGGGGGAUAAGCUCCAUGGUCGAGAGGGAAACAGCCCAGAGCAUCGACUAAGGCCCCUAAGCGUACGCUAAGUGGGAAAGGAUGUGGAGUCGCAGAGACAACCAGGAGGUUGGCUUAGAAGCAGCCACCCUUGAAAGAGUGCGUAAUAGCUCACUGGUCAAGUGAUUCCGCGCCGACAAUGUAGCGGGGCUCAAGCGUACCGCCGAAGUCGUGUCAUUGCAGCAAUAGGGCCAACGCCCGCUGUGAUGGGUAGGGGAGCGUCGUGUGCCGGGUGAAGCAGCAGCGGAAGCUAGUUGUGGACGGUUCACGAGUGAGAAUGCAGGCAUGAGUAGCGAUACACACGUGAGAAACGUGUGCGCCGAUUGACUAAGGGUUCCUGGGUCAAGCUGAUCUGCCCAGGGUAAGUCGGGACCUAAGGCGAGGCCGACAGGCGUAGUCGAUGGACAACCGGUUGAUAUUCCGGUACCCGCUUUGAAACGCCCAAUAUCGAAUCCUCUGAUGCUAAGCCCGUGAAGCCGUUCCGGACCCUUCGGGGAAUGGAAAGUGGUGGAGCCGGCGAUCCAAGGUGGUAGUAGGUAAGCGAUGGGGUGACGCAGGAAGGUAGUCCAGCCCGGGCGGUGGUUGUCCCGGGGUAAGGGUGUAGGCCGUGUGGUAGGCAAAUCCGUCACACGUUAAGGCUGAGACCUGAUGCCGAGCCGAUUGUGGUGAAGUGGAUGAUCCUAUGCUGUCGAGAAAAGCCUCUAGCGAGUUUCAUGGCGGCCCGUACCCUAAACCGACUCAGGUGGUCAGGUAGAGAAUACCGAGGCGUUCGGGUGAACUAUGGUUAAGGAACUCGGCAAAAUGCCCCCGUAACUUCGGGAGAAGGGGGGCCAUUCCUGGUGAUGAGACUUGCUCUCUGAGCUGGGGGUGGCCGCAGAGACCAGCGAGAAGCGACUGUUUACUAAAAACACAGGUCCGUGCGAAGCCGUAAGGCGAUGUAUACGGACUGACGCCUGCCCGGUGCUGGAACGUUAAGGGGACCGGUUAGUGACCUUUCGGGGUUGCGAAGCUGAGAACUUAAGCGCCAGUAAACGGCGGUGGUAACUAUAACCAUCCUAAGGUAGCGAAAUUCCUUGUCGGGUAAGUUCCGACCUGCACGAAUGGCGUAACGACUUCUCGACUGUCUCAACCAUAGGCCCGGUGAAAUUGCACUACGAGUAAAGAUGCUCGUUUCGCGCAGCAGGACGGAAAGACCCCGGGACCUUUACUACAGUUUGAUAUUGGUGUUCGGUUCGGCUUGUGUAGGAUAGGUGGGAGACUUUGAAGCAGCCACGCCAGUGGUUGUGGAGUCGCCGUUGAAAUACCACUCUGGUCGUGCUGGAUGUCUAACCUCGGUCCGUGAUCCGGAUCAGGGACAGUGUCUGAUGGGUAGUUUAACUGGGGCGGUUGCCUCCCAAAGGGUAACGGAGGCGCCCAAAGGUUCCCUCAGCCUGGUUGGCAAUCAGGUGUUGAGUGUAAGUGCACAAGGGAGCUUGACUGUGAGACCGACGGGUCGAGCAGGGACGAAAGUCGGGACUAGUGAUCCGGCGGUGGCUUGUGGAAGCGCCGUCGCUCAACGGAUAAAAGGUACCCCGGGGAUAACAGGCUGAUCUUCCCCAAGAGUCCAUAUCGACGGGAUGGUUUGGCACCUCGAUGUCGGCUCGUCGCAUCCUGGGGCUGGAGUCGGUCCCAAGGGUUGGGCUGUUCGCCCAUUAAAGCGGUACGCGAGCUGGGUUUAGAACGUCGUGAGACAGUUCGGUCCCUAUCCGCUGUGCGCGUAGGAAUAUUGAGAAGGGCUGUCCCUAGUACGAGAGGACCGGGACGGACGAACCUCUGGUGUGCCAGUUGUCCUGCCAAGGGCAUGGCUGGUUGGCUACGUUCGGGAGGGAUAACCGCUGAAAGCAUCUAAGCGGGAAGCCUGCUUCAAGAUGAGUAUUCCCACCUCCUUGAGAGGGUAAGGCUCCCAGUAGACGACUGGGUUGAUAGGCCAGAUGUGGAAGCCCGGUAACGGGUGGAGCUGACUGGUACUAAUAGGCCGAGGGCUUGUCCUCAGUUG